UACGUAGGGGGCUAGCGUUGUCCGGAAUCAUUGGGCGUAAAGCGCGUGUAGGCGGCCCGGUAAGUCCGCUGUAAAACUCGAGGCUCAACCUCGAGAUGUCGAUGGAAACCGUCUGGCUAGAGUCCGGAAGAGGAGUGUGGAAUUCCUGGUGUAGCGGUGAAAUGCGCAGAUAUCAGGAAGAACACCUAUGGCGAAGGCAGCACUCUGGGACGGUACUGACGCUGAGACGCGAAAGCGUGGGGAGCGAACAGG
rnacentral:rRNA from 1 species